rnacentral:rRNA from 1 species
UCGAACGAUGAAGCCCUUCGGGGUGGAUUAGUGGCGAACGGGUGAGUAACACGUGGGCAAUCUGCCCUUCACUCUGGGACAAGCCCUGGAAACGGGGUCUAAUACCGGAUAACACCGGCUUCCGCAUGGAAGCUGGUUGAAAGCUCCGGCGGUGAAGGAUGAGCCCGCGGCCUAUCAGCUUGUUGGUGGGGUAAUGGCCCACCAAGGCGACGACGGGUAGCCGGCCUGAGAGGGCGACCGGCCACACUGGGACUGAGACACGGCCCAGACUCCUACGGGAGGCAGCAGUGGGGAAUAUUGCACAAUGGGCGAAAGCCUGAUGCAGCGACGCCGCGUGAGGGAUGACGGCCUUCGGGUUGUAAACCUCUUUCAGCAGGGAAGAAGCGAAAGUGACGGUACCUGCAGAAGAAGCGCCGGCUAACUACGUGCCAGCAGCCGCGGUAAUACGUAGGGCGCAAGCGUUGUCCGGAAUUAUUGGGCGUAAAGAGCUCGUAGGCGGCUUGUCACGUCGGGUGUGAAAGCCCGGGGCUUAACCCCGGGUCUGCAUCCGAUACGGGCAGGCUAGAGUGUGGUAGGGGAGAUCGGAAUUCCUGGUGUAGCGGUGAAAUGCGCAGAUAUCAGGAGGAACACCGGUGGCGAAAGCGGAUCUCUGGGCCAUUACUGACGCUGAGGAGCGAAAGCGUGGGGAGCGAACAGGAU